UACGAAGGGGGCUAGCGUUGUUCGGAAUUACUGGGCGUAAAGCGCACGUAGGCGGGUUGUUAAGUCAGGGGUGAAAUCCUGGAGCUCAACUCCAGAACUGCCUUUGAUACUGGCAACCUAGAGACUGGAAGAGGUUAGUGGAAUUCCCAGUGUAGAGGUGAAAUUCGUAGAUAUUGGGAAGAACACCGGUGGCGAAGGCGGCUCUCUGGACCGAGACUGACGCUGAGGCGCGAAAGCGUGGGGAGCAAACAGG
rnacentral:rRNA from 1 species